GCUGGCGGCNGCCUACACAUGCAAGUCGAGCGGCAGCGGAAAGUAGCUUGCUACUUUGCCGGCGAGCGGCGGACGGGUGAGUAAUGUCUGGGAAACUGCCUGAUGGAGGGGGAUAACUACUGGAAACGGUAGCUAAUACCGCAUGACCUCGAAAGAGCAAAGUGGGGGAUCUUCGGACCUCACGCCAUCGGAUGUGCCCAGAUGGGAUUAGCUAGUAGGUGAGGUAAUGGCUCACCUAGGCGACGAUCCCUAGCUGGUCUGAGAGGAUGACCAGCCACACUGGAACUGAGACACGGUCCAGACUCCUACGGGAGGCAGCAGUGGGGAAUAUUGCACAAUGGGCGCAAGCCUGAUGCAGCCAUGCCGCGUGUGUGAAGAAGGCCUUAGGGUUGUAAAGCACUUUCAGCGAGGAGGAAGGCAUCAUACUUAAUGCGUGUGGUGAUUGACGUUACUCGCAGAAGAAGCACCGGCUAACUCCGUGCCAGCAGCCGCGGUAAUACGGAGGGUGCAAGCGUUAAUCGGAAUUACUGGGCGUAAAGCGCACGCAGGCGGUUUGUUAAGUCAGAUGUGAAAUCCCCGCGCUUAACGUGGGAACUGCAUUUGAAACUGGCAAGCUAGAGUCUUGUAGAGGGGGGUAGAAUUCCAGGUGUAGCGGUGAAAUGCGUAGAGAUCUG
rnacentral:rRNA from 1 species